AAACCGGUGAAGUAUCUAGAGGGCUUAUUAGGACACUGCUCAUAUUGUUUGAUACUUUACCAUCUGGGGAUUAGGCUAUCGGUGAACACGACAAUGCGGCUGUUGGUCACGGAUGCCGGGGGCGUGAGCGGGGUUGAGGAGCUCACGUGGUGCUAUACAUGACGACCUGCGAGUGGUGGCAGGAGGUGGCAUGCCUGCUGCUUGGCUGGAAGUCCGACAUGAACUCCCACGACCGACUGUAAGCAUGGUACGUACCCAAUCGUCAAACUAUCUUCUUUCACCUCCUUCUUAUGUAGAAAUUAAACUUCGCUGCACAACGGGCAUUCCUACUUUCAGUCAGUCAUUUUUGCCCAUUACGAUUGUUAAUACUAAGUGUACAUGUCACCCACAUUCGACCAGUGUAUUGCAUUUGAAUUACCUUGAUCUAUGGAAAUAGUUAUAUAGGCAUGCUACGUGCAAGUGCUUAUCUAGGCAAUUCAAAGUUCAGCCUGUAGUUUUAUGCACACCAACCCAGUCAGCAAUAGAUGCAUGGUUGCCCAUGCGUUGCCACAGAACAAUCCUAGAGUGGGGCAGUGCUAUCCUAAAGUGGGGAUGAGAGGAUUCAGCGGCUGCACCGGUGGCUUGUCUAUCUCCAGGAGAUGGAGUGCGCCGCCUCAUCGAUGUGGGAGCUGCAUUGCACUAACAGGGCACGAUGCCUCAUGGAUGCGGGAGCUGCAGUGCACUAUUUAAGAGUUCAAAAGCAUGAAGGAGGAAAUUACCUACAAGUGUUUAAGAUCACGAAGGAGGAUGUCAAAGUUUUCCAUUGUCAAGGACUUGUGAGCAAGUAGUAUAUGAACUUCACUCUGAUUCUAACAAAAAAGUUGGCUAUCUGAUUCUAAAAAUAAGAGCAGAAAAUAAUAGAGAUGUAUCUACAUGUGUGUGCAUUAAAAUUCAUUUUAUUCUGUUAGUCGAGAUUAUAACCUUUCAAACAUUACUUAUCCAGGUUGUGAAGACCUUCCAGCAUUACCCCAGGAAGCUAACACAUCAGCUUGUGCCAUACGUGGUGUUUUCUUGUUGAUGAAUGUUGGUCUAGGUAAU
rnacentral:lncRNA from 1 species